CAGUAGCCGCGGGAAAACGGAGGGGGCUAGCGUUGUUCGGAAUUACUGGGCGUAAAGCGUACGUAGGCGGCUUUGUAAGUUAGAGGUGAAAGCCUGGAGCUCAACUCCAGAAUUGCCUUUAAGACUGCAUCGCUUGAACGUCGGAGAGGUGAGUGGAAUUCCGAGUGUAGAGGUGAAAUUCGUAGAUAUUCGGAAGAACACCAGUGGCGAAGGCGGCUCACUGGACGACUGUUGACGCUGAGGUACGAAAGCGUGGGGAGCAAACAGGAUUAGAUACCCGAGUAGUCCCUGUCUCUUAUAC
rnacentral:rRNA from 1 species